rnacentral:rRNA from 1 species
CCUACGGGAGGCAGCAGUGAGGAAUAUUGGUCAAUGGCCGGAAGGCUGAACCAGCCAUGCCGCGUGAAGGUCAGUGCCCUAUGGGCGUUAAACUUCUUUUGUGCGGGAGCAAUAAUGGUCACGUGUGGCCAGACGAGAGUACCGUACGAAUAAGCAUCGGCUAACUCCGUGCCAGCAGCCGCGGUAAUACGGGGGAUGCAAGCGUUAUCCGGAUUUAUUGGGUUUAAAGGGUGCGUAGGCGGAAUGCCAAGUCAGCGGUAAAAUCGCGGGGCUCAACCUCGCUCCGCCGUUGAAACUGGCGUUCUUGAGUGGGCGAGAAGUAUGCGGAAUGCGUGGUGUAGCGGUGAAAUGCAUAGAUAUCACGCAGAACUCCGAUUGCGAAGGCAGCCUACUAAACUGCCACUGACAUUGAUGCUCGAAAGUGUGGGUAUCAAACAGGAUUAGAUACCCUAGUAGUC